ensembl:lncRNA
AGAGAAUGAACAAACUACAAUCUCGCCUUUAAAAUCUCUUCUGGGAAGGAUUAUGUAUCAUUUCUAAUCACAUUGGCCAAAGCAAGAAAUACUGCCAUUGCAAACUUCAAGGGAUGUGACAACAGAAAUCCUACCAUAUACUUAGAAGACAGAAAGUUUGGGGAAUGUUUGGGGAACAGCGCAAAUGACUAUCUCAUGGUGCCCAUUCCAAAGUGCAUGAGGAAACAAAGGAAUUAAGUGGAAGAAGUUUCUCAAGGUCAACUGAGGAGAGAGGUUCCUCCAGCCAAGACAGUUUGCCAAAAUGGUACCUUGGACUCUCAAGAUUGCUGGGUGAUCUGGUUUAAACACAGCAGAACUCUUCCUCUUCUACACUGAAAAUGCAAGAACUGAUACGUUGCUCAGUCAAGAUAUUUCAUAUUUGAAUUUUAAUG